ACCAACCGAGAAAAGUGCAUCAGUAUAUGUUUGGGGAGCAACCGACCUCUCUCCUCCUCGCCUCCACCCCCUGCAGAGCCCCAGGAGCAAGCAUGGCGGACGUCGAUGCUUUCGGCCGCGAGUACUUCGACUGCGGGUGGGCUUGCGGCCUGCCCGCCGACCACUAUCUGCCGAGCUUCAUCGAGAAGCACAUAGGCCGACAUGUGAGGGCGGAUGAGCGGGCAGCAGCUGCAGCGGCAGCGGCGGCAGAUCAGGCGGCGGCAGAGGCACCAGCUCGCCGCCGGCGCAGAGGCGGACGACGCCGCGCCAGAGGCGGCCGCUAGUUACGUAUGGAUCCUAGAAGCAGGCCCGCAACUGGUAGACAGGGGAUCUGCCAGGACUAAUCGAAGUGCACAUAAAGAACAGCGUUUGAAGUAGAUCGAAAUCAGACAUUCGUCGUAUUCUUUGUUAUCAUACAAACGUGUCUUGUUUCUGCUACGUUUCUCAUACAAAUUGUCUCUGGAACUCUGCAUGGACAAAUGGGGAACUGGCUUGUUCCAGCUUUGACAAAUCGAAAUCAGCACUAUCUUGCUGUUACAACA